UACGAAGGGUGCAAGCGUUACUCGGAAUUACUGGGCGUAAAGCGUGCGUAGGUGGUGAGUUAAGUCUGUCGUGAAAGCCCCGGGCUCAACCUGGGAAUGGCGAUGGAUACUGGCUCGCUAGAGUGCGGUAGAGGAGAGUGGAAUUCCCGGUGUAGCAGUGAAAUGCGUAGAGAUGCGGAGGAACACCGAUGGCGAAGGCAGCCCCCUGGGCCGACAUUGACGCUGAGGAGCGAAAGCCAGGGGAGCAAACGGG
rnacentral:rRNA from 1 species